rnacentral:rRNA from 1 species
UACGAGAGGCCCAAACGUUAUUCGGAAUUACUGGGCUUAAAGAGUUCGUAGGCGGCAUUGCAAGUAGGGUGUGAAAGCCCUCGGCUCAACCGAGGAAUUGCGCUCUAAACUGCAGUGCUCGAGGAACCUAGAGGUGAGCAGAACUGAUGGUGGAGCGGUGAAAUGCGUUGAUAUCAUCAGGAAUACCGGAGGCGAAGGCGGCUCACUGGGGGUUUUCUGACGCUGAGGAACGAAAGCCAGGGGAGCGAACGGG